rnacentral:rRNA from 1 species
AGGACGAACGCUGGCGGCGUGCUUAACACAUGCAAGUCGAGCGGAAAGGCCCUUCGGGGUACGUCGAGCGGCGAACGGGUGAGUAACACGUGAGCAACCUGCCCUUAGCUCUGGGAUAGCUCCGGGAAACCGGAAUUAAUACCGGAUACGACCUAGGCCGACAUCGGCCAUGGUGGAAAGUUUUUCGGCUAGGGAUGGACUCGCGGCCUAUCAGCUAGUUGGUGGGGUAAAGGCCUACCAAGGCGACGACGGGUAGCCGGCCUGAGAGGGCGACCGGCCACACUGGGACUGAGACACGGCCCAGACUCCUACGGGAGGCAGCAGUGGGGAAUCUUGCGCAAUGGGCGAAAGCCUGACGCAGCGACGCCGCGUGAGGGAAGAAGGCCUUCGGGUUGUAAACCUCUUUCAGGAGGGACGAAGCGAAAGUGACGGUACCUGCAGAAGAAGCGCCGGCUAACUACGUGCCAGCAGCCGGC